rnacentral:rRNA from 1 species
UCUUUAUUUUAAAAUUUAUUCUAACUGAAGAAGUACAAAUAUAUUUUUAGUUGUUUAUAAAAUAGUAUACAUAUAUUUGAAAUUUAAAAGACUUGGCGGUGUUACAUAUCCUUUCAGGGGAGCUUGUUUAUUAAUUUGAUAAUCCUCAAUUUAUACUUACUUUUUUUUGAAUAUUAUACAGUUUGUAUAUUGCUGUCGUCAGUUUAUUUUGUGAAAUUUUAAAAACAUGAUAAUAAAUAAUUGUAAUGAUAAGUCAAAAUGCAGCUUAUAAAAAAGGUUUAUUAAGUGAGCUACAAUUUAUAAUUUUUAAAUACGAAUUGAAUUAUGUAAUAUAAUUUUUGAAGUUGGACUAGAUAGUAAGAAAANAAANAGGGCUUAANCUAGAUAGAACGCUAUGC